rnacentral:rRNA from 1 species
CGAAAUUCCUUGUCGGGUAAGUUCCGACCUGCACGAAUGGCGUAACGACUUCCCCACUGUCUCGACCAGGAGCUCGGCGAAAUUGCAGUACGAGUAAAGAUGCUCGUUAAGCGCAGAAGGACGAAAAGACCCCGGGACCUUUACUAUACCUUGGUAUUGGCGUUAGGCGCGGAUUGUGUAGCAUAGGCGGGAGGCUUCGAAGCAUGGGCGCCAGCCCGUGUGGAGCCGCAAGGUGAAAUACCGCUCUGUUCGCAUUGGAUGUCUAACCUCGAACAGUCAUCCUGUUCAGGGACAGUGCCUGGCGGGUAGUUUAACUGGGGCGGUUGCCUCCCAAAGAGUAACGGAGGCGCUCAAAGGUCCGCUCAGCCCGGUUGGCAAUCGGGUUUCGAGUGUAAUCGCACAAGCGGGCUUGACUGCGAGAACGACGGUUCGGGCAGGGACGAAAGUCGGAGAUAGUGAUCCGGUGCCGGCGCACGGGCGCGGCAUCGCUCAACGGAUAAAAGGUACCCCGGGGAUAACAGGCUGAUCAUUCCCAAGAGUCCAUAUCGACGGGAUGGUUUGGCACCUCGAUGUCGGCUCGUCGCAUCCUGGGGCUGGAGCAGGUCCCAAGGGUUCGGCUGUUCGCCGAUUAAAGCGGCACGCGAGCUGGGUUCAGAACGUCGUGAGACAGUUUGGUCUCUAUCCUCUGCGCUCGUUGGAAUGCUGAGGAGGCCUGCCCAUAGUACGAGAGGACCUGGGUGGACGAACCUCUGGUAUGCCGGUUGUCACGCCAGUGGCACGGCCGGUUGGCUACGUUCGGAAGGGAUAACCGCUGAAAGCAUCUAAGCGGGAAGCCUGCUCCAAGAUAAGCAUUCCGUGGAACCUUCGAGUUCCUGUAGUCCCCAUGCAGAACACGUGGUCGAUAGGCCGGACGUGGAAGCCCCGCGAGGGGUGGAGCCGACCGGUACUAACGGGCGAACGCGGCACAC